GCCAGGCUCAGUGGCACACGCCUGUAAUCCCAACAGCUUGGGAGGCUGAGGCAGGAGGAUCACAAGUUCAAAGCCAGCCUCAGCAAAAGCAAGUUACUAAGUAACUCAGUGAGACCCUGUCUCUA
rnacentral:sRNA from 1 species